CCUUGGGGCCGCGAGUGGGAGCGGGAGCGGUUCUGCGGCCUCCUCGGGCUUCUUGGCCCUGGGCGGAGUGGGAUUGGGUGUCCCGGCUGUUCGCAGUGGCCGCGAGUGCGGCCGGACCUGGAGUAGUACCUGAGCCGCUCUGGCCGAGCAAGGCGCGGGGCCCCGGUCUACACCGCGCUGGACCCGGCUAUGCCGUGACGGAAUUCCCGAGGCCGUAGCGCCACGCGAGACGCGCACUGCUCGCCUCCCUUCCGCCAAGAUUCACAGAACACGGCAGAGUGGCCUCGGGAUCACCUGCCCAAGACACCUGCACGACCGGAAGUUGGGAGAAGAAAUUAAGGCCAUGAUGAUGAACGCAGCCUUUCUCGUUUAUUUCCAAUCCCACAACAAACCGGAGUCCAGGAACUCAUGGGAGGCCGAGGUGGGCGGAUUGCCUGAGUUCAGGAGUUCGAGACCAGCCUGGGCGACACGGUGAAACCCCGUCCCUACUAAAAUACAAAAAAUUAGCCGGGCGUGGCGGCACGCGCCUGUAGUCCCAGCUACUCAGGAGGCUGAGGCAGGAGAAUGGCUUGAACUCGGGUGGGGGAGGUUGCAAUGAGCCGAGAUCGCGCCGCUGCACUCCAGCCUGGGCGACAGAGCGAGACUCUGUCUCUGAAAAAAAACAAAACAAAACGAGAAGGCUUUCAAAAUUACUCUGCGGUACACUAAUUUAACAGAUUAGAUCACUUUCCAGGCUUUAAGUUGGCCUUUGUUCUACCCUUUUUUUAGUGUAUGAUAAAAGUUGUGUUGGUUCGUUGAUCAGCAUGCAAUGAACUCUGGCUCUUGUUAAUCAGGUGACUACAGUUUUGUCCUUACAUUUGUAUGUAUGUCAUGAGUGGUUUUGUAUGGGCAGGAGGUAAACAACGCACAUUUAAAUAUACUUAAUGAUUUAUCAUUCCAAUGUUUUCUGGUUGUUUUAGUCUUUCAUUUGUCUCUUGAACAAUCUGAAACAUCCCUAUUCUAAGGCUAAAAAAUUUCCUUUACAAACUUAGGUUAAACAUUCCUAAUCUGAAAUCCAAAAUGCUCUAAAAUUCGAAUUUUUUUGAGUACUGACGUGACCCCACAAAUGGAAAAUUCCACACUUGCCCUCAUGUGACACUGGGUGACAGUCAAGUCACAAUCAAGCCUGGUGUGGUGGGCACCUGUAGUGCCAGCUACUCGGGAGGUUGAGCAGGAGGAUUGCUUGAGCCCAGGAGUUUGAGUCCAGCCUGGACGAUAUAGCCAGACCCUGUCUGUAAAAAAACAAAAACCAAAACAAAAAAAACAAUGAAAACAUUUUUUUUUAAAACGCCAUCAAAACUUUGUUUCAUGCACAAAAUUAUUUAAAAUAUAUAAUAUAACCUUACCUUCAGGCUAUGUGGGUAAGGUAAGGUGUAUGUGAAACAAAUGAAUUUCCCAUUUAGACUUGGGUCCCAUCCCCAAGAUAUCUUAUUAUGUAUAUGCAAAUAUUCCAAAUCAAAAAUAUCUGAAAUACUUUUGUCCCAAGCAUUUCAGAUAAAGGUUACUCAACCUGUAAUAAAAACACUCAGUGCUUGCCUGAAGGAAAAACCAAGAAUUUGUCAUCCAUCCUUAAAUUUUUAUGACACCCUUUGUAAUCAGGAAACCUUUUAAUACCUAAGAAUAUAUUUGAUAUAUUCUGGUAUAUGUUUAUCAUUCUGAUGUUUAAUGUUCUAUGUUGGGCAUAUAUCAGUGUAAUAAAUACAUUAGAUCCAAA
rnacentral:lncRNA from 1 species